UACAGAGGGGGCAAGCGUUAUUCGGAAUUAUUGGGCGUAAAGGGCGCGUAGGCGGCUUUGCAAGUGGCGGGUGAAAUCCCUCGGCUUAACCGAGGAACUGCCUGCCAGACUGUGAGGCUUGAGACCGGGAGAGGUGAGUGGAAUUCCCAGUGUAGCGGUGAAAUGCGUAGAUAUUGGGAGGAACACCAGUGGCGAAGGCGGCUCACUGGACCGGAACUGACGCUGAGGCGCGAAAGCUAGGGGAGCGAACAGG
rnacentral:rRNA from 1 species